UUUUUUUUUUGUCUCUAUCUCCUUCAGUUCUGCUCUGAUCCUAUUCACUUCUUGUCUUCUGUCUUCUCCUGGCUUUUGAAUUUGUUUGCUCUUGCUUCUCUAGUUCUUUUAAUUGUAAUGUUAGGGUGUCUAUUUUAGAUCUUUCCCAGUUUCUCCUGUGGGCAUUUAUUGCUAUAAAUUUCCCUCUAAACACUGCUUUAGCUAUGUCCCAGAGAUUCUGCUGCAUUGUGUCUUUGUUCUCGUUGGUUUCAAAGAACUUAUUUAUUUCUGCCUUCAUUUUGUUAUUUACCCACUAGUCAUUCAGGAGCAGGUUGUUCAGUUUCCAUGUAGUUGUGCAGUUUUGAGUGAGUUUCUUAAUCCUGAGUUCUUUGCACUGUGGUCUGAGAGACUGUUUGUUGUGAUUUCCAUUCUUUUGCAUUUGCUGAGGAGUGUUUUACUUCCAAUUAUGUGAUCGAUUUUAGAAUAAGUGCGAUGUGUUGCUUUGAAGAAUAUAUCUUCUGUUCAUUUGGGGUGGAGAGUUCUGUAGAUGUCUAUUAGGUCUGCUUCGUCCAGAGCUGAGUUUGAGUCCUGAAUAUCCUUGUGAAUUUUCUGUCUGAUUGAGCUGUCUAAUAUUGACAGUGAGGUGUUAAAGUCUCCCAGUAUUAUUGUGUGGGAGUCUAAGUCUCUUUGUGGAUCUCUAAGAAUUUUCUUUAUGAAUCUGGGUGUUCCUGUAUUGGGUGCAUAUAUAUUUAGGAUAGUUAGCUCUUCUUGUUGUGUUGAUCCCUUUACCAUUAUGUAAUGCCCUUCUUUGUCUUUUUUGAUCUUUGUUCGUUUAAACUCUGAUUUAUCAGAGACUAGGAUUGCAACCCCUGCUUUUUUUUUUUUUUUUUUUGCUUUCUCUUUGCUUGAUAAAUAUUCCUCCAUCCCUUCACUUUGAGCCUCUGUGUGUCUUUGCACAUGAGAUGGGUCCCCUGAAUACAGCACACUGAUGGGUCUUGACUCUUUAUCCAAUUUGCCAGUCUGUGUCUUUUAAUUGGGGCAUUUAGCCCAUUUACAUUUAAGGUUAAUAUUGUUAUGUGUGAAUUUGAUCCUGUCCUUAUGAUACUAACUGGUUAUUCUGUCUGUUUGUUGAUGCAGUUUCAGCACAGUGUUGAUGGUCUUUACAAUUUGGUAUGUUUUUGCAGUGGCUGGUACCGGUUAUUCCUUUCCAUGUUUAGUGCUUCCUUCAGGAGCUCUUGUAAGGCAGGCCUGGUGCUGGCAGCAAGAAUUUCAAGCCAGUGGAUCUUAGCUUGCGGGGCUCCAUGGGGGUGGGAUCCGGGCAGCUAGACCACCUAGCUCCCUGGCUUCAGCCCUUUUCCAGGGGAGUGAACAUUUCUCUCUCUCUUGCAUUCCAGUUGCCACUGGGGUAUGAAAAAGAACUCCUGCAGCUAGCUAUGUGUUGGCCCAAACGGCCAGCCAUUUUUGUGCUUCAAACCCAGGGCCCUGGUUGUUUAGGCACCCAAGGGAAUCUCCUGGUCUGCGGGUUGCAAAGACCAUGGGAAAAGCAUAGUAUCUGGUCCGGAAUGCACUGUUCCUCACAGCACAGUCCCUCAUGGGGAGGGACUUCCCCAGCUCCUUGUGCUUCCCAGGUGAGGUGACGUCCCACCCUGCUUCAGCUCGCCCUGCAUGGGCUGCACACACACUCUAACCAGGCCCAAUGAGAUGAGCUGGGUACCUCAGUUGGAAAUGCAGAAAUCACCUGCCUUCUGCGUUGAUCUCGCUGGGAGCUGCAGACUGGAGCUGUUCCUAUUCGGCCAUCUUGCCAGCCACCUCAUUAGAUAGUUCUGAAGAGCAAGCAAUAAGAUCAAUGGAAAUUACUUCUAGAAGCUAUACUUGGCUAUGCCAAAAAACCUUGAGCAGGUCCUUUACACUCUCCAGGACUGAGUUCAUCAACUGUAGAAAGAAUGGCCAGAUGAUCUCUGAGGUCACUGAGUGUAGGAAGAUAGAAAAUGGAAAGAAAGGAUAUGAAUGAUAUCACUUGCACCAUACUGCCAGAGGGAAUUUGCAAACAUCAGUAUUUCUGUCCAUUCAGGUCUAAUAGCCUCAGAGAAAAUGCUGCCAAGUAUAUGAUUAUUUCCAUGCGAACACUACACCAAUCCCAUCACAAACUUAGAGCCAAAGCCCACACUCCACAUCACCAUGUCACAUAAGGAAUUUUUGCAUUAUUUCAGUUUGAAACUCUCCAUGUAAACCUCAAGUGAGGGUAAGGCAGAUUCAGAUUGUGAUUAUGAGAGACAAGAUAUCUCAAGAGCCAGUUCUUCAUCUAAGGUCUUUAAACAAACAUCAAACAAGUUAUGCGUAGAAAAACAAUACACCAUAUGUUUCAUGUGGUCUCAAUCUGCAUAAUUUGGGAGUCAGGUCUAUAAUAAUAAUUUUGGUGUGAGGUUUGUAAUCACAGUCAAUUUCUUUUUUCCUCUCUGUCACAAACUGAUUCCAGUUAUCUUCCUACUUUAUCUUUUGAUUGCAGAAAAGAAUAAGGGAUUAAACUGGACAUCAGUGUUCUAUAAUAGAUCUUUUAUAUAUUUCUUUUCUUAUCUUAAAAUUAUUGACUCAGUGAAAGGAAAGAAGGAAAGAGAAAGAAAAUCUACAUAAUGGACUCUUGCUUUUAAAAAUACAUUUAUAAAUUGCAAGCCGGCAAGAUCAAUAACUAACACAUGAAGGUGAUUCCAUAACACAAGUGACUUUUUAACAAUAGUUUCACCUUAUAGAACAUUUAACUCUAUGGCCAAUAUUCCAUGAUACUGCCUAUUACUUUUAAUGGCAAAACCGCAAUUAAUUUUGCACCAACUUAAUAUCUCACAGUGGACUAGUAAAGCAACACACCCCAAUGUGGUCCCUUCUUAUUUUAGUACUUUGUUCACUCUCCCAUUACAUGUCUUCAAACUUUUCAUAACUUCCCCUGAGUUGAUGGCAAUUUUCCCAUUCGAAGAAUCAUUCUUUCAUUUUCUUAGAAGAUGCCUCUCUUUUCGCAAAAAAUCAGUUUUCAUUUUAUUUCAUUUUAUUUCUGCUCCUACAGUAUGAGUCAAAUACUCUUGUGAUUCCAGGACAUUAAAAAAAAAAAACAUGCAGAGGAAUUGGAUUCACUUCUCAGCUCAGCUACUUCUUAGCAGUAUGAGCGUAGAGAAAUUGCUUAACAGCUCUAUGCCUUAGUUUAUCAACUAAACUCAUAAUCUCACUUUCAUAAUCUCUUAGUUCAUAAUCUCACAAAUUAUGUGAGAUGGGGAAUAUAACAGAAACAACCUCACAAGAUUGCUAUGAGGAUUAAACCUGCCUCAUAUGAGAGAAGCACUUUGCAAAUAGCAAAUAGCUGAUUGUAUGUUUUAACACAUGCAUCUACCUGGAGUAUGAGAGUAUCUUGGACUGGUCUGACUCAUUUCUGUAUCCCCAGCAUCCAAUGCUGAGUAAGACCCAAAACAGACACUUAAUAAAUGUUUGUUGAAGGCAUGAAUGACUCGUCAGUCAUUUAACUGUAUGGUCAAUAAAGGAAGGCACUCCUUGGGUGUCCCCAUAGUAUGCCAAAAGCAGGGACCAUGUCCUGUGUAUCUCUGUGUCCCUAGUAUCCAUCAUAGUGUCUGGCCCAAGGUAGUCAGUUACAUAAAUUUCAACUGAUGAAUUAAUGAAUAAUCCAGUGAGGAUACACCAUUACUAACACCUCAGGUUCACUUUUACUUUCAUUCCCAGGUCCCCCUACCCUCCCACUUUGACUUUAAUUUCCACUCACCUACUGCUUUUAUCAUAAAGCCUUCCUUGACAUACCCCACCCUUGGCAUGUCUCCUCUGAAUGCCUCCCACACGCACAAAAUAGACAGCUUAGCUUUAUAUUUUAUACUCUUCCAAGCUGCUCACCACCACUGCAGAUAUAACAUCUGAGAUCAUCAAUUAGAAUGCAAAUUCUUUGGGGGCAAAGGCCAUGCAUCAUCAAUCUGUCAAAUUUUCUACAAUGACUGGCAUCAUACUGGGCACUAAGCUAAAUGAUGAUCUUCUGGAACUUACAUACCCUAAAGGUAUUCCAUGCACAAAUUGCUCUGAGCUGGGUAGCUACUGUAAGAAUUCUAUCAUCCAGAGUCCUCAAAAAUUGAGUUUUCUGAAAUAUUACAAAUUAUUUUUUUCUUAGUUCUGUUUCUCUCUGUAUGAAAAAAAACCCUCAUUCUAACAUAUAACAUAUAUUUCUUUUACUUUUCAAGUGGAGGCUCACAAACAUGAUUUGGCUACCUUAUAUGCCUCAGUAAUUACAAUUGGCUGUACACACAACUGAAGAUGGAGAUGAUGAUGUGCGCAAUAGGGCUGCCUGAUUUAACUGGUGACUGUGUGUGGUCACAGUCCCCGAUCUAAACUGUACAGGUUGGCACACUGACCCCCUCCCCAAAGGACAACUGCACUAUGGGUUGCUGACCUAUAUCCCUGCCUCCAAAUACAUCCAGAAAAUAAAAGAACCCUACAUCUGUGUUGCUCUCAGGUGCCAUUCAGUUCAAUAGUUAUCUGCUGCACUAUUCCUACGUGCCAGGUACUACAUGAAAGAGAACAGUUCCACAGUUUACUGAAGGUUGAAACAAGCAGAAAAGAUGACUGAUAAACAAGUAACAAAAUAUGCCUCUUAACGGCAUUUGGACAGAUCACUGAAGUAGUAUCAGAAAGACAAACCGAUUCAUUUGCUCAUUCAUCAACCAUUUACCUAAAGCAGCUCUACAGAACCGAAACCUCACAGUUCCUGCCCUCAUGUGACUCACAGUCUGGUGAGAAGCAGAUGUGCAAUAAAAUCACUAGUCCUUUAAUAGAGAUGUUCAAAUUGCAGUGAAGCACAGGAGUACUAGCAGUUAGGUGUGCCUGGGGGCAUCUCAGAAGACCUCACAAAAGGGGUAACACAGGGCAUGUUCUUGAUCUCAGCCAUGCUCUUGAUCUCAGUCUAGCUGGAGUACUGAGUUAUAGGGAACAGCUAUGCCCAACACUGACCCCAACUAGCAAAGAUGUACUGUCACUCUAGUUGCCUCUUCUCUUCACUUCUGCCAUAGCAAUCUCCAAAGCUCACCUUGGUUUUGAUGACUACUUCAUUCAGAUGUUUAGCUCCCCACUGCAGAGAGUCCAGGCCUUUGGCCAAGUGGCAAAUUGAGGGCGGUUGAGACUGACUCUAGUCUAGACCUGCAGGGAAGGAAAUGAACACAAGGAAGGGCAACUCUGAAAGAGAAAUCUGCCCAGCUAUAGUCUGCCACUCCAUGAGCAUCAAUGGCUUACUGCAUACCAUGACACUAUGCUUGAAUUACACUAGUCCCUGCCUUCAAGGAGCCCACAGCCUAGUGAGGGAGAGACCCAUAAACAGAUAAUAUAAUGCAGUAUGAUAACAGCUAUAAUUCAGAAACUGACUGAUAUAAUUCAGAAAUAAAGUGCUGAGAUAACAGUGGGAAUUAUCCACUGGGAGAAGGGUGGAGAAGGUGGAGAGGGUUGAUGCUUGAACAGGGUCUUGAAGGGACUGGCGGGGCUUUUCCAGUUGGAUGAGGUGGGGAAGAACCUUUGCAGCAGAUAUUGCUGGUUCUUUACUGAAAAAAAUUCCUUCACCACCCUCUUCUCCCUCUCCAACACAACCCAGACUUUAUGCAGACUAUUGUUUUAGACAGAGACACUCUAGGCAGAUAAUCUUCAUAAUAAGAACUUAAGUAAUAAUAAUAAUAGCAAACACUUAUAUAGAGCUUACUCUGUGUCUGUCACUAUUAUAUGUGUUGUAUAUAUUAACUGAUUUAAUACACACAACAACCCAGUGAGGUAGGUACUACUCUUAUCCCCAUUUUACAGAUGGGAAAACAAAGGCACAAGCUCUGCAUGCUUAACCACUACACCAUAUUCUCUCUUUACUAUGAGAUGUUGAAGGUCCACACAGCAAAAGGGACUUUAUAAGCAAUCUUAGGUAGUACCCUGGAUUAAAUAUGAAACAGUAAAGCUCAGGGAGAGCAUUUCCUAAAUAGUAUAAAUUGUCCUUCCUGAAAAUUUUCCAAGCUUUGAACUUCAAUAGGACCAUCAGUCUUUUAUGUUAAAUAAAUUGAAGUGUCAUAAGGUGGCUUCUUCUGAAAUUGCGUAUUGUUCUAGUUCAUAUAGUAUUAAACGUUCUGUAAUAUUUUCAUCACUGAAUGACAGCAAGGCAGGAGAACUGCAGGCUCUCCUGCUGAUUCGGGCCUGUCACUUUCACAACACAUUAUCUUUUAUCUGUCAAUAGUAAAUUGUUCACAUAUUCCCUCGGGAUGGGGUGGGGAAGGUAGCAAAAUAAAAUAAUCUGGGCCAUGAAAACUUAGAAACCAAGUAUGUAGUUUCAAUUGUGAAUAAUGCUAAUUUAGGAAAAAUUCCUGAUAAAAGGCCGUGUUUUUUGAUAGCUGAACAAUAUUCUACCAGUAAAGGCCUUCUAGGGAAAAGCAAGUCCAUUCAUUAAAAAAGUACAUUUACAUGUAUAAUGCUAACCAAAUGCUUUCACAUAUCAUGUCUUUUUUAUACUCCAACAAGCUUAGUGGGUGCUUAAUGUUACUAUUCUCACUGUAGCGUUUCACAAAACUGUGACCCAUUGAGAUUAAGAGGCUCACUCAAGGGCACCCAGUUCCUGUCUUCUUUCCACAAAUACACACAGUUCCCUCCCUCCUCACCACCACAUUCAAAUAUUUAUAUAACAGAUGGGCACUUCACUGAAGACAAAGGGGAAGGGCAAAUCUGCAGCCCCUUACUACAACAGCUAAUUGUCCUGGCAUGGAUUCACUCCCCUGCUCUGUCUACUUGCACACCAUUGGCUGGCAGGACACGCCAAAAACAUGUCAAAAGUAUCACAUGUCCAAAUUUUGUACAAGGGAGGCUGGAGCAAUAAUUUUUCACAUUAGGUCUGUGACCUCCUCAAUACAGAAUCAACUCUGCCCUUCCAGACCUAGUGGGUCUUCACCACCUUAUCCACCUAGAAGUGGCAAGAGUUACACAGAGCACUGUUCAGAGAGUGAAAUGAUUUGGAUGUGUGUCCCCUACAAAUCUCACGUUGAAACGCGACCUCCAGUGUUAGAGGAGGGCCUAGUGGGAGGUGUUUGGGUCAUGUGGGCAGAUGCCCCAUGAAUGCCUUGGUGCCAUCCCCAUGGUAAUGAGUGAGUUCUCUCUCUGUGAGUUCACGUGAGAUGUGAGUUCACGUGAGAAGGGCCUGGCACCUCCUCCCUCUCUCUUUUACUCCCUCUCAUCAUGUGAUAAGGCAGCUUUCCCUUUGCCUUCCACCAUAAUUGUAAACUUCCCGAGGCCUUGCCAGCAGCAAAUGCUGGUACUACACUUGUUGCACAGCCCACAGAACCAUGAGCUAAAUAAACCUCUUUUCUGUAUAAAUCUUCCAGUCUCAGGAAUUCCUUUAUAGCAAUGCAAAAUGACCAACACCAGGAAAUAGGGAGAAUAUGGAUCUACUAGUCCUAACAGUAAUCCACAGCAAAUACUGAACAACAACCACUCCUCUCCAUGACUUUGACUCACAUACUACUCAAUGCAAGUGGCUCCACACUGUUCUUGCUUGCACUUUGCAGGUCCUCUGGAGAGGCUGAUCUAUCUAACUGAUAAUUUCUCCUACUUUCAGGAGUCAAAUGGUCUAAAGUAGCUCAAGCAGAACCUAUGUUCCUGAGAGGUGCUCAUUCUUCCCAGACAUCAGAACAGUUAAUACUUUCUUUUGCAUAAAUGAAAAUAUGGUAUGCUUGAAUUUGCAAAUCAUCAAGUAGCUUCAACACCAAAGCAGGUAUAUCCAUGGGUUCAUACCAACUUAGUACAUGUAAAUGCUAUCUGUAUGCAUAUACAGAAAUUUCAGAGAGUACAAUUUAAAAAGCUGUUCAUGAACUUUUAAGAUUCAAAUAACCAGAGACUACAUUUGAAAUUCUGCCUUGCAGAAUUUACACAGGAAUGCAGAAAGGGCUUUACCCUUGUUCAAUAAAAAACACCUCUAACUGCCUGACUUGUGGGUAAUACAUUUUUAUACUUGUGCACUUUUAUUUUACCCAGGCAACAUGCAAAAGUUGGUAACCCUCUUCCCCAAGACACCUGCAUGGCUUUCUCUCAGAAUUUUACUCAAAUAUCAUCUUCUCAGUAAGUCCAUACCUCAUCAUCAUACUCAAAACUACAGCCAUUUACCACCACCACUACCAUACAUACACAUUCCCAGAUUUAUUUUCCUCCAUAGCACUUGUCAGCAGAUAACAUAUCUUUUUUACCUAUAUAUAUAUUGCUUAUUGUAUGUCCCUACACACACACACAUACACACAUACACACACACACACGAAUGUAAGCCCAGGAGGGCAAAGAUCUUUGUUUUAUUCAUUGCUAUAUCACUUAUACCUAGAACACUGCCUGGCACAUAGUAGGUAUUCAAUAAAUAUUUGUUGAAUUAAUGUUAAAUGAAAAAUCUUUAUUUUCAAAGUUGAAAUAAAAUUUUCCCAUACAAGCCAUGAGUGUUAUUUCAGAAUGAACAAUCUUUUUCAUUCCUUCUUUUGCUGAUUCAUUUCUGACUUAACAUGGCUGUCUUCUUCUUUAGAGAAAACACUCAAAUGCACAUUCCAGGACACUUUAUUGGGAGGACUCUCAUUUUAGCCUCACAUGUAAACGAUUUAGUUCUAGUUCACAUACAGAUGAAACCAGACCUGGAAAGUACUUGUAUUAAGUUUGUUUUGCACUGGAACAAAACUCAUGAAAUCAGACCCAACAAUGCAGAAUUCGUUUAGCUAUCCAUGGGAAAAGGGGGUGCUGAGUACAUAGUAAUACUUGCCAACCACACUCACAAUAACUGCUUUCAAAAACAAUAGGAAAAUUUUAAAAUAUUUUUAUUUCUUCAUUAUGGCAAAUCAUGAAAUCCAUAAAAUUCUACUAGCUAGAAGUUCAUGUUACUUUGUAUACUUGAGCAUAAUAAGUGUCUCUUUUAACCCACUAUAUAAUACUGGCUUUUGUUUCUAUUGUUCAGAAAACACCUAUACCCCAUGCAAUUAUUGCAAAUCUCUGUGCCUUUGAAAUGUUGAUCAUAUAAUCUAACUUUUGUCAAUAGCAGUUCCAAUUCCUAUACAUUUCCCCUUUACUGCUAAGUGAGUUCUUGCCAGUUGUAGUUUUGGCUUUUACAUUUGAUGUUCUGAAACAUGAGAAGACCAUAUUGCUACAAGACUAUGCAGAGCAGGGAAGGUCCAUAACAGCCGGAGUCCACCGUGCAUGUCCACCAAUGGGCCCCCACUGAAGCUGGUGUGGGGUAGAGUUAGGACCUAGAUUCUCUGAAAAAGCUCUUCAGGGGCUUCUGUUCUCUGCCUUACACCACCUCCAAUGACAAACAUCAGGAAGUUCUUAGAGGAAAGGUCUAUUAUAAACACUAAAUGAUUAUGCUUAAAAGCUAUUAUCUUGUUAAUAAUAUCACCCCAAAACUAAAGUCAGGAUCUGGCAUUAUCAUAGACAUUUUACAAAUGGGAAUACUGAUAUAAAGCACAUAAGUGAUUUUCUGUUGCACUAAAUAAAGGCAAGAUAACAGCAAAGUAAGGGGGAAAAAUGUGAGUUCUUAAGGCCCAGUCCAGUACAGGGGACCAUUAUAUCACACACAAUCUAUGGUUUGAUUUCCACUUUAGAUUAUUCCCAGUAAUAAGCUACAGAUAAGAAAGACUAAAUAGGCUAAUCUGCACCUAACCAGGAAGUAUACCUGCAUAAGAAUGUAGCUGCAUAAUGCCAGUUCAUUUAUUUGGGCAAUAUUUAUAAAUGGUCUGCUAUGUACCUUAGAAGCAAAGGAUAUUAGGAUCAUUAUGAAUCACCACUGAAAAUCAGGCUGCAAUCACAGUGGGAAAAUGUAAGAGAUGAAAAAAAGAAGAUGCAAAGAAUAAGUGAUACUGCUCAAUCACACAGUUGUAAGUGCUAGAGAUGGGACUGGAUCCCAGAAACAUAAGAGUCAUCAUUCAUGACUCCUGUCUCCCGCUUAAGUAAAUGAGAUAUCAUUGUACCACUCAUGUUAUUAUUUGCACAAAACCCAAUCUACCCCAAUUCCUGGAUAGUGCUCUCAAAUCUUUAGACAUUGUCCAUCUUCAUUCUUACUCUACCAAGUCUCAGCCUGGACCCACCGCAUCAGCUUUCUCACUGCCUUCCUAGCCAGACAGAGUUUUUAAAAAUGUACAUCAGAUCACAGGGCUUCCCAUCAGGAAACUCUCCAAAGGCUUUCCAAUGCAUUUGAAAUGAAAUCCAAACUCUUCAUCCUCAUACACAAAAGUACACCUCAAUGCCUUUGUGUGCCAGCCCCUGCCUACCUAUUCAGGUACACCUCAUGCCUCUCUAGCCAUAAUGCAUGUCAUACAGUUAUGCCCUUUUACAUUUACAUUUGCAAUACCCUUCCCUCUCUCUCUCCCUUCCUUCCUGCCAUUCUUCUCACUUCUUUGUCUUCAAAUGAGCUGUUCUCUCUGCUUGAAAUUCUCUUUGUCCUCCUCUUUGCCAGGCCAGGUCCUAAUUCACUUUUCUGAUCCCAGCCGAUCUCUCUCCUCAGGGAGCAUUCCCUGGUCCUUCAAGGCUGUGUUAGCUGCCCUCCUCUGAGCUUGCACAGUUUCCAGGGCAUCUGCUAUUACAGCACUGGUCACACUGUAUUUGUCUCCAUUGACUAUUUGCUUGUCUGUCUUCCCCACUACACUGUGAGCCCUGCAAGGGCAGGGACACUCUGUAGCUUGGUCACAUUUUUCCAACACCUACAAUCAAGCUUGACAGAGAGCCAACACCCAAUACGUGUUCCUUGAAUGAAUAAAUGGUAUGAAUGGAACUAUCCUGAAAUUUCUGUGUGGCAACAUCUGGGAAGUAUCUGUGGCAGUACAUUUACUUUCAUGCAACUGCUGGAGACAAAGCAGAAAGUCAACAUGAGUGAUAUAGUUGGAAGUCAGAAAUGAGUUGUGUUCUGCCUGAUUACACCCUACACUGCCAAGAAUGGCAUUAUCUGUUAAAUAUCAAUGUUCUUUUUGACUUAAUAAAAAUUCAUGGCCUACUAAUAAUAGCCAUAAAACUAUGUACUUUCAUAUGAAUAAAGUUGAUUAAGCCACUUUCUGGAAUAGUUGUGUCUUACUGCUAAAUAAUGCAUAUUCUGAAUAGUUAAGAAGUUAUCCCUCUUUCUUGUUACUAAUAAAAAAAUCAUGGCUGCAGACACAUAUAUGGAUUUCUGAUCAUGGAGUCCACAAUUAACAAAACCCUGAGGCCUCUAAUCUUAGCAGAAAAAAAAUAAGUCUUCUACUUAAAAUCUAAUGGGUUUCAUUCAUUUAUAAUGAUAGUAUCCUGAAGUUUUGUUCACAAUCAGCAUUUCAUCAAGUGCAUUAAGUUACCAUUGAGCCUACUUGUUUUUCAUGCAUUUCUUCCUACCAGGGAACCUCCUUGUUAAUGCACAGAAAAACUGCAUUUUCAAUAUUUCUGCUUAAAAAUUGGAAUCAAUGGGACUGUCCACUGAAAUGAGAGUGGCAUAAUUCAGGAUAUGCCAGGACUAUCCACGUAACUAAGGUGACUCACUACUCUAGGAAUAAUGUACUUCCUUCCGUUCUCUAAGUAAGCCAUGUUCUUGCUCAUCACCUAGCUUCUACAUGUGCUGUCCCCACUUUCCAGGACACUCUUAUUCCUCUUCAUCAACUGACAAAUUCUUACUCAUCCUUCAGGUGUCAAGUUAACGAUCGCACUUGCUACCACCACCCAACUAUGUCAGCUCCCUCUCCUAUGAGCUUCCUUAGUUCUCUGUGUUUCCCAGUCAAGGCACUGCUUCCUUUUUAUUUCUCCCACUAUCAGCUCUGUAAGAGCAAGAAUAGAGACUCUUCCUCAUUGGUGUUUCACCAGUGCCUGGGCCUGCCAUAAUGCUUGAUGCUCUUUGAAUGAAUGGAGUCCAGAUUCUUAAGCAUGUGUCUCUAAAGUAUUGUCUAUCACCUGAAAAUAAAUAUAUCUGCAGGCUUUCUGCCCACCAAUGGGAAAUAAUAUAUUAAGGAUUGAGGGCGUUUAUUACAAAUGACAAUCCCUUUGGGAGAUUUCUAUUUCUGGAACAUUAUAAAGAGGUUGGAGACAGUUCAGGAGAAGUUAGGGGGCAUGAAAACAAAGCUUAGGAGCCAAUACAUGGAGUGGGAAAUCUGUGCCCUGAUACAGAAACAGCACUCACAGCACUAGCUGCACAACUCAAAGCCACACACAGCACUUCAGAGGUGGCAGGGAGGAGACAGAAUUCACAGUGGAAAUUCAGAGGGACUUACUCAAAUCAAAACUAAAGUCAAGGCCUGGAUAUUUCCUCUAUUUGAUGCCAAGUAUUCAACAAAUGUUUCUCCCACUGCCCAAAAAGAGUUGAAAACAAAAAAAACUUGAUUGCUUCAUAUUUAAAACUAAUUUGUGCUCCUAAACAUGAGCUAUGUUUCAAAUAUAAAAGAAGCAGAUAAAAACAAAUAAAAAUGUUGAAUUAUUCCAAGGCUAACUGUGAAGUUAAAUUUUUCCAAAUGACAGAGUGAGUCAAAUUUCUCUUCAAACAUUUAUUGCAUUUGCCUUAUGAGCCAGGCUUUGUCCUAAGUACUAUUCAGAAAUUAAUAACUUGGUCCCUGCACUCAACAAGUUUACAGUAUAGUGGGGGACACAUAUAAACAGGAAUGGAAAUAAAUGGUAAAGGGCAAAAAUGCAAGGAUGAAGGAUCAUAGAGGCUAUCACAGAGGAAGUUCAUUGUUUCCACACACACACACACACACACACACAAAAUCACUAUAAAAAAGUAACAUAAUAGACCCAAGAGGACCUAAAAAAGUCCUAUUUACUCUACUCAUGGUUCUCAAACUUGCAAGUCAUUUGGAUUGAUGCCUCAAUUCUCCAGUACCCUAAAAAUUUGCAUUCUUCCUUUAUUUUAUUCACCAUGUUAUUUUAAUAAUCUUAGACUAAAGACUGAGAAAAUAAAUUGAGUAUUUUAAAACAAUUUAUCCCAUCAAUUGAAAAAAGAUCUACACCCAAGUUCAUAGCAGCAUUAUUCACAAGAGUCAGAAGAUGAAAGCAACCCAAGUUUCCCUCCUUGGACGAAUGGAUAAGCCAAAUGUGGUCUAUAUAUACAAUGUAAUAUUAUUCAGCCUGAAAAAGGAAAGAAAUUCCCACACACACUACAACAUGGAUGAGCCUCAAGGCUCAUCUUUUCCUUAUAAAUUACCCAAUCUCAGGGGUCUCUUUAUAGCAAUGCUAAAUGAAAUCAGUCAGUCACAAAAUGACAAAUAACUAUAGUUCCACUUAUACAAGGUAGCUAAAGUAGUCAAACCCAUAGAGACAAAGUAGAAUGGAGGUUGCAAGGGACUGGGGUAAUGGGGAAAUGGGGAAUUGUUUAAUGUGUACACGGUUUCACUUUUGUGAGAUAACGUUCUGAAGACUGGUUGCACAAGCAGUCUUCAGAUUAUAUACUUCAGUUAAAUACUUAACACUACUGAUCUGUACACAUAAAAAUGGUUAAGAUGGUAAAUUUUAUGUUAUGUGUAUUUUACCACAAUUAAAAGUAAAAAUAAAAUUUUCAAGAGGGAUCAUGUUAUAAUGUUACAUGGUGUAUUGUCCUGAAGCUCUACUCCAAGAAAACAUGAUUGGGGUACACAAAGGCCCCAAAUGUGAGAAAAUGCAAUACUUCAGUUCUUUUAGUCAUGAAUAAAUACAUUGUGAUGAGAGGGAUGAACAUAGUUUUAAAAGCUGUUCUUGCCUUUGUGGGGAAAACAAUACAAGCAAACUUAUUUAGGUCACAGCAGUCACUGUAAACAUCCCAAGAAAAGCUUAUUAAUAACAGCCACCCACAAAGGACCUGGUUUCAACCAAAGAAUGCCAUGGAGUCAGUGAAAGGAAGGCUGGGGAAGAAUUGUCCUGUAUUUUAGAAAUAAGAAUGUUAGCAUCUUUCUGUAGUUCAACUUGGAUUUAGAAAUCACAAAUACGGCCAAUUAUUUUAAAUAAGGAAAUUGAACUAGACAGUGUCUGAAGGACCUUCUGGCUCUAAACCAUAAUAAUUGGUUGCUUGCUUGAUAAAAGAAAAAAAAAACAGAAAAAUACCCUAAACAUUUAUGUCAAUCCUUGAUUCUGCUAUCAGUAGAGUAACAGAGGCCACCUGCCUGAAUCUGUUACUGUGUCAAUGUGGAAAUGUACUGGGCUAGGCCCCUGCCACUAACUUGUUCUAUGACCUUGGGCAAGUCAUUGCCUCUCUGUGGGCCUAAUUCUUCUACUCUGUAGUGGGAAGGUUAGACCAAAUGAUGAUGAAGGUCCCUUCCAGCCAUUAUAGCCUGUAAUUAAGGAUCUGUGGAGCAUGGUGAUUAAGGCUGCAGAACAAUGUGAAUAUACUUAAUACCAUAGAACUGGAUACCAUAGAAUUGACUAUAAAAUGGUCAGUUUUAUGUUGUAUAUUUUGCCACAGUAAACAUAUUUAAAAUAAUUAAAAUAAAAAAGAUAAUAAUCCGAGAAGCAAGACAGCCACUCUGAGCAACAGUUUCUAAUUAGAAUAGCAGGAAACAAAUGCCUCAACAAGAGGCCUCUAGGCUUGGUUUUGAUUUCUUUCUUUUUAAUCAAGUAGUCCUUCAUGCCCAAAGAAACGUGCGAGUACACUAAAGAUGAUGCUAUUAAAAGAAAAACUUUUCAUAAAACAAUAACUCUUUCAAUAUUGUAACUACCUCCACAUUCGGCAUUUGAGUUAGAUUUGUAUAUAUAGUUUUUAUAAAUUGAGUCUCCCCUAUAUACAAUAUGGUCAAGAGAGAUGCACUCUGAACCAAAUCUCACUCUCAGCAGAGCAACUACUCUCAUUUCUUCCAGCCAUGUAAAACAAGCAACUCAACUCUGGCUCAAAGGCAGGGAAAUAAGUUUAUUAUCUUCUGCCAGGAUUUUCAGAUCCUGGGGAGAUGCCUCUGCACUAAAAAUCAAUACAAGAUUUUUCAAGGUAUUCAGUUUUGUCACUUGUUUGGAGACAAUGGCCUCAGAAAAGAAGAUGAACUGCCUUACUUCUUUUUCCUCCCUUUUUCUGCAUGCUGCCCUUUAAAGACAUGCUCUUUGUGCCAGAAAUUCAAAGGUUGCUUUUAUGUCCAGUGGGGUGGAGGGAGGAAGCUCGGUGUGUUUUAAACGGUGAAAUCUGUCAAAGUCCCAAAGGCUCUUGUGAUACAAAUCAGGUCAUCCUAUACAGCCUGAACCCCCAAUUCCACAGAGGAAAUAAAAACCAUUUAUAACUCAAAGUAACUAGCAGUAAUAGGUCAAUGCACUUGAUUGGUCAUGAACCAAUUACAGAGACACUGCUUGGUGCCUCAAGGAUGAGAAGGGGUGGGGGUGCACCUAGGCCCAGCCCAACACUCACACUCCUGCUUCCACCUCCCAUCACCACCUGCUGCCAGAUACAGGCAGAAAAAUUAUGUCCAAGGAAAAGCGGAAUUACCUUGUCCACCCUGUGUCACCCUGCUCUAGACUGGCAGAGAAAUGUCUUGGAAGUCCCACUCCCACCCCCUUAUCCCACCAGUUUAAGAUCCACUGAGGUUCAAGCUAUCAUAAGGGUCAAAAUAUUUGGACACUGACCUCUGCUAUUCUAACAGCUGUGCUAGGAUUGCCAUCUCUGAAUGGCAUGCCCGAAGCUCCCUCCCAGCCCCGCCCUCUCUGCGAGAGCCGAGGCUUUGAAAUUCUCCUGCUUCCCUACUUUCUCCUAAAGGGAGACCAUCAAGGGAAACAAUUGAGGCAGGACUGGCAAUAAGAUAGAAAAAAGCAGCAAAAAGAGAGAAAGAAGGCUUCCAAGCAGAACAUUUAUAUGUGGAAGAUGAAUAGGGCCGAGAAGGUCUUUAAGGUUGCUUAAUUCAACCCAUGAGGACACUGAGAACUCAAAACAUACAGUUGACAACAAUGCUGGUCCUAGACAUCAGGGCUCCACCUCAUGUAAUAUUUUUGGAGUGGAUGACUCCUUUGAGAAUCUGUUCAAAGCAAUGGAGCCUGCUCACCAGAAAAAUUGACAUUUAUACAUAAUUUCUAGGGGAGUCCUGUGAUUGUCUCUAGGACAAUGUUUCCCCAACUAGCCUGAUGAUAAGAAUCACCAGGACACCUGCUUACAAGUCAGAUUACCAUCUCUUUUCCUAAAAUUCUAAUUCAGUAGGUCAGCGGGAGGGUUUUUGUUUUGUUUUGUUUAGAAAAAACAAACAAACCCUACAGGUGAUUCUUUAGGCAAGCUUGAGAAACACUGCCCAGAGGCAGUAGGUCCCUAAACCAGCUGUGCAUUAGAACCACUUGAGGAGCUUAAUAAAAAAUGUGGCUUUCUAAGGCUCAUGCCCAGAUAUACUGAAUCAAAUUCUCAUGGUCGGGGGUAUAUGUGGUUAGACGUGAUGCUGAUGCCCAAGCUGGUCCAGGAACCACAGCUUCGGUGGUUCCUGAACCACAGAUAAGCAACCCAUGUAUGACUCCAUCCAGCUUGACUCAUUAGUAAUUUGGCUUGGCCAGAGCCUGAUGGCUAUGAUGGGCACCAGAUCACUCACUGCUUGACAUACCACGAACAUGAAACAGAGUGCUUCAUGCACUGAAAGUCUGUUUCCCUAAGAAAACUUGCAAAAUAUGCUUGUAUUAUCCAUGAAGGCAGGGAUAGUUAUCUGUUCCGCUCACUGCUGUAUUCUCAGUGUCUAAGAAAGCAGAUGGCACAUAGAAGGUUCAAUACAUAUUUAUCGAGUAAAUUAACAGAUGAAUUAAUUUACACAUGCAUUAAAAUAACUGAAAUCACUUAAGUUGGGGUAUGACUGUCCAAUGCAUGUGUGAAUCUGUAGAUUUAUUUCUACCACCAAGAAACCCUCUAUCAAGAGUCCUCUAACUUGAAAAAUCAAUAUGAAAAUCACUACUAUUUCAGUAAUAUUAUCAGUAUCAUCAUUGACCAAAUUCUACGUAGAUAGCCCAUUAUGAAGUAGCAAUUGUAUCCUAAAUUAAAUUAGCAAAAUUAAAUCCAGCAGGAUUAUUGCUGUCAGUCUAAGGGCUUUUGGUAUAGAGUUUCAAAGGUAAAGGAGCAUUUACAGAAACCUACGAUGGAUGAUAAGCAUUGUCAUUACGUAACACAUUUAGUGAGCACUUGCUUUGUGAAAAGGAUCCUUGAAGACAUUCCAGUCUAUUCAGAGAGAUAAGACAUAAGCAGAUGAGAAGUUAACCAUGAGAUACACCCAAAGUAGCCCAUGGAGAUUGCCAGAUGGGUGACAUAGAAGCCCUGUACAGAAGUAAGCAGUCAGUGCCUGCUGGGAGGGCGGAAGAAAGGCUUCAUGGAGGAUGGAGAUUUAGCUUGGACUUGAAGCAUCAUAUAAUAUAAAAAUAAUAAGUAGGUCACGGUAGAUCAAGGAAUGAGGGAGCAGAAAACUCAGUUUGAAGACAAUCAAUAAGUAAUAUUUCAUUAGUAUUAUUUUUAUUAUUAUAUCAUUAAUAUAAUUAUGUAUUUCCACUAUAGAUAAAAAUAGAAAAUAUGACUAAACACUAUAAAUUUCUAUAAGCCAACCACCCAGAGAUUCCUUUUGGUGUAUAUUCUUUCAAGAUUUAUUCUUAGCAUAUUUGUUGUGUAUCUAUUUACAUAUGUGCAUAGUUGUCUAUGUGUGUUUAAUUUGGUAUUUACAGAUUUAUACACACAUAUACAUAGCCCCAUAUGGGCACAUAUUCAUAUAUGUACUUUUACAAAAUACUAAUCAUGCUUGUGGUGUCCAGUGAGAAGGAUCUCAAGGAGGUGCAGGAAAAAUGUUCACACCCCAGGCACAAAUCACCAUCUCUCCUUGGUUACCCCUAAGUCCACACCUAGUAUACACACUGAAAAUGAUGGUGCAAAUUAUUUAACGACAUAAAAUAACAUUCUAAGACGUUGAGGGAAAAAAAGGAAGUUAUCGUGUAUGUGCCUGAUCCCACAUACACACUUAAAGAUAAUUAGCCAUGUCUAUGUAUUAUAAUAUGCAGAGAAAAAGGACUAGAAGCAAAGCCUCAAAAAGUUAACUUGGUAGUGGAACCUUGGGUGAUAUUUUCUUCUCUACGCUUUUAUGAUGUUCCAAAUUGUCUCCGGUAAACAUGCAUUAUUUUGUAAUCUGAAAAAAAUCAAUGUAAUAAAACAUAAGCAAUAUAAAAACACACACAUAAAUUCAAAUCUGCCUGUGAGCGUCCUGCUCAAGAUGCAUCUUCGGUUUUUGAGCAGCUAAAGUCAAAUUAGCAUUAACAAGAAGACAGAGAAAGCAAAGCUCUUGUGUUGGUCAAGCCCUGACUUCAAGGCUCUUGGCCUUCUAUGCCUGCCUUUGAGGUGUCUAGUGGGUGGGUCAGGUGUACGGAAAGCAAGAAAGCCUUGAUAGGUGUCGCUAAGGGAGGAGGGCGCGCCUCCCUGAGCCCCGCCCGGCCACCACCAGCGCUGCUCUGACCGCCACCAUCUUAACGCUGCUUCCCCACAGGCUGCAACGUGCCCGCGGUCUAGACUGCGAGGCCGCGGGCUGCACCGGAGCGCGCAGUAUCUUCCCCCGGACUGCGACCACCCGCACCGCCAGCCACGGAGCCCUGGCCCGGGCCCGCGGUUCCCUUUGCGACGCCUCCCCGCAGCUGCCACAUCACGAGGCUAAUGAGCACACUAAGGUUUGUAAUAAACCUGCCUGCCAGAUACACAGGAACUGAGGGAGGCUGGUUGACCAGACCUUUCAGCGCGAUCGUCGGUUCCCAGCUAGCCGAAAAACAAAUGUUCCCCGGAAUGAGAGCAUCUAGGAGCACCUUGUCCUGUUUCCAAGAGAAUGGCUCACAUUGUUCCCAGAGCUCCGAAAAUCACUCACAAAUUCAAGAGCUCUUGGAAGCCUUAAUGUUCAAUAAACCCCCCAAGGGGAGAGGCAAGCAUACACACAGAGAAUCAAAGGCAAAAUAAGCAGGUCAAUUCUCAAUACUUUCAAAGUCACCAUUGAAAGAAGUUUCUGAAAAUAUCUAUGGGCAUAUUCAAGAAGUGCACUCAGCCUGUCUUCUUUAGGUUGUUUACUUCUACUUUUAAGAGCUAGAUAAAUAUUUUAAGAACCCUAGCUAUUUACUAACCCUCAACUCCAGAACAGUAACAAAUGCUACCUACAUUAUUUGGAGCAAGUUUUGAGAACUGGGUUUCAUGUUUGUUAUUAAAUUUACCUAUAGCCAUGCAAUAGACCCAUCACUGUUAAUUAUUACCAUUGAGCAACAGUUCUACAAUACAGAUAAAUACUACAUGAUUCCCAACUUCGAGAACUGUAAUUAAUAUGCUUGUUCAAGGCGUUGUGUCUCUGUUAACAAGAUAUAUUUUUGGAAAUAUUAUCUAACUGAAGGCAGCAUAAAUAGUAUACAAAAUAAAGCUUGCACUUUUUUAUUUUUCCAUUUAAAA